rnacentral:rRNA from 1 species
AUACGGAGGAUCCGAGCGUUAUCCGGAUUUAUUGGGUUUAAAGGGUGCGCAGGCGGCCAUUUAAGUCAGCGGUUAAAUCGUGGGGCUCAACCCCAUUCUGCCUUCGCAACUGGUUUCCUUGAGUGUAGAUGAAGUAGGCGGAAUUUGUGGUGUAGCGGUGAAAUGCAUAGAUAUCACGAGGAACUCCGAUUGCGCAGGCAGCUUACUAAACUACUACUGACGCUCAGGCACGAAGGCGUGGGGAUCAAACAGGAUUAGAUACCCUGGUAGUCCACGCAGUAAACGAUGAUUACUAGCUGUUUGCGAUACAAUGUAAGCGGCUGAGCGAAAGCGUUAAGUAAUCCACCUGGGGAGUACGUUCGCAAGAAUGAAACUCAAAUGAAUUGGCGGG